UAAGUGAAUAGCUAAUAAUCUAAGUAUAUUUUUUACACUAAUAUGAUAUCAUUUUUGAUUUUACUU
rnacentral:tRNA from 1 species